GGAAGUGGUAGAAUCAACAUCCGCCAGAAACGGGCGGGCCUGCCUAUCUCAGGGAGGCAGAGGAUUUGACCAGGGUCACAGAACAAGUUGGCCCUAAGGCCGGAACAAGAGUCGGGAGCCCCUGACCACUAUUAGGAUUAUGCACAGGCCAAGGGCGGUGUGGUGGACCCACCGUGGUGGACGAGGUCAAGGACAUCUGCGGAUCAGUCGGGGCGCCUAAGUUUUCACUCCCGAAACCCACCUCUUCUGAAGCUUAACUGAUCCUUGGCGACAGCAGGAGAAAUCACCAUUCCCACAACUGGCAGAAUCACUCUGGAAACUCCCGUUGCCCCCAGGCUGUCUCCCAGUCCACCCGUGUAAAUUCGUACAGCCAUCAUGGAAAACAGUAUGGAGGUUGCUCAAAAAAUUAAAAAUGGAACUACCGUAUGAUCCAGCAAUCUCCCUUUUGGGUACAUAUACCGAAAGAUUAUGAAGUCAGUAACUGAAAGAGAUACCUGCACUGGCGGGCACCUUGCAAAAUUAUUCACCAUAACCGAGACGUGGAAAUAACCAAUGUCCUUCCAUGAAUGAAUGGAUAACGAUGUGCUGUGUGUAUAUACAGUGAAAUGUUAUUCAGACCCAAAAAAAGGAAAUCCUGCCAGUUGCCACAUGGGUGGGCUUGGAGGACAUUAUGCUAAGUGAAAUAAGCCAGACA